UACAGGGGGUGCAAACGUUGCUCGGAAUCAUUGGGCGUAAAGCGCACGUAGGCGGUUCGUUAUGUCGGAUGUGAAAGCCCUUGGCUUAACCGAGGAAGUGCAUCCGAAACUGGCGAGCUAGAGUACUAAAGAGGAUCGCGGAAUUCCCGGUGUAGAGGUGAAAUGCGCAGAUAUCAGGAGGAACACCAAUGGCGAAGGCAGCUCGCUGGGACGGUACUGACGCUGAGACGCGAAAGCGUGGGGAGCAAACAGG
rnacentral:rRNA from 1 species